UACGUAGGGCUCAAGCGUUAUCCGGAUUUAUUGGGCGUAAAGGACGCGUAGGCGGUCCGAUGCAUUUUUGUUUAAAUUCUUUAGCUUAACUGGAGAUUGGGCAAAAAUAUGAUCGGACUCGAGGAACACAGAGGUAAGCGGAAUUCCCGGUGUAGCAGUGAAAUGCGUUGAUAUCGGGAGGAACACCAACGGCGAAGGCAGCUUACUAUGUUUUUCCUGACGCUGAGGCGUGAAAGCGUGGGUAG
rnacentral:rRNA from 1 species